rnacentral:rRNA from 1 species
CAACGCGACCCCAGUCAGGCGGGGCUACCCGCCGAGUUU